rnacentral:rRNA from 1 species
GAUGAACGCUGGCGGCGUGCCUAAUACAUGCAAGUCGAGCGAACAGACGAGGAGCUUGCUCCUCUGACGUUAGCGGCGGACGGGUGAGUAACACGUGGAUAACCUACCUAUAAGACUGGGAUAACUUCGGGAAACCGGAGCUAAUACCGGAUAAUAUAUUGAACCGCAUGGUUCAAUAGUGAAAGACGGUUUUGCUGUCACUUAUAGAUGGAUCCGCGCCGCAUUAGCUAGUUGGUAAGGUAACGGCUUACCAAGGCAACGAUGCGUAGCCGACCUGAGAGGGUGAGCGGCCACGCUGGAACUGAGACACGGUCCAAACUCCUACGGGAGGCAGCAGUAGGGAAUCUUCCGCAAUGGGCAAAAGCCUGACGGGGCAACGCCGCGGGAGUAAUGAAGGUUUUCGGAUCGAAAAACUCUUUUAUUAGGAAAAAAAAAAUGUGUAAGUAACUAUGCACGUCUUGACGGUACCUAAACAGAAAGCAACGGCUAACUACGU